GAUAAUUUCCGCACGCUGCACUCACUUCGCGCCUUUCGCGCGCUUCCCAAUAGAUUGAUGAAAUUAGAAAAGGCGAACACGUUUUGAUUUCGACGUGUGUGAACUGGACGAGGUUUCGGUGCAGGGAUCGAGGAGAGAAAAUUUGGCGCGGAAGAUCGGAGGGAAUUCCCGUGCAGCCAAGCGCGACCCCCCUAUAGCAGCGGAGUGAAGGCAGGCGUAUAUAGGGGAAGGAAGGACGGCAGGUGCAAAAACACGCCAACAUAACCUCACUUCCGAGAUCCUCUCCGGACAUCGGUCACUUUCCCUCGUCCCCGUAAGGAAGAACGAAUGAAAAAUGACAAGGAAAACGGCCAAGACGCGCGCACUACCUUUAUCGCCCAUGUCUCGCAGCUCGACUGCUCGGCCUGAUGCAGACCUGCAGUAUGGGCAUGCUCCAGCUUCGCCGAGGAGACGACGACGACGACGGCGACGGCGGCGAGGAUGAGGCGCGCACCACGUCGACGAUCCUCAUCUGUGCCUGGCUGCUCGUGCUCGAGUAGCGCGCUGGUACUGACUACUGACACGGAGCGCGACCGGAACGCCGCGCGCAGACGGACACGCUCCGGUGCAGUGUAUACUUCUCUCUCUCUUCUCGAUGCGCCGCCGCAUGACGCAUCUCUGUAUAGCUAUAUGUACAUAUAGAUAUAGAGGUAUGCGCCUAUACACUUACUUUUAUACUUGGACAGUAGUCGUCGCCGCCGCCGCUGGGGGUGGAUGGGGGGUGCGAAUUCCGCGCUCUCGAAGAGAAUUGACAGAAUGGAUGCGCACAGGUGCGGAUUUAUGUUUUCCCAUUAUGUAAUAUACGGAUUUAUUUGCUUCGUUGUCGCAGUCGAUCACAAUGCGCGAUCUAUACAUGCCAAUUAAGUUAAUCAGCAGUAGAACAACAUAAUGAAUCUGUCUGGGGGCAAACUUACCGAGUGAUAAAAUCAGUCAUAACGCGCAAUCUACUGGGAUCUUUGUAAUUUAAAAUCACAGGGUUGAAGCGUUCCAUUAUAGAAAUGAAUGAAUGCUGCUCUUAUAUACAGACAGGCAGUUAGCGCAAGCAAGAGACACUAGGCGACGGAGAAUAACUUUCUUCGGGCAAGUGUAGGUCGUAGCAUCUAUCGAGUAGUUUUGACACUUGCGGGAAACUUUGCCUGACUGAUGACAGCUCAGGUGGUAAGGAAGCCAGACGGACACCGAAAAUUCACCGCCGUCUCGCGCCCCUCGCCGGGCUAAUUUUGUCAAUCAAUUAACACAGACUCUGGCUUGUUCGAAAUAUCGCAUAUAACAAUUUUUAUUCUACAUGGAGAAGCUUAAUAUCAUAGUGUGUGUGUGUGUGUGAACAUUUGCUGCGCGUAUAAGGCUUAAGUAUCGUCACCAAAUUCCGUCUAAUUUACUAUUCAGUCUGUAAUAAAUAUAAAAAAAAAUAAAUAGUAACUAUAACAAGA